GAAAAAGAACAUAAGAACUGCUAACUCUACCCCCCAUGCCUAAACGCCAUGGCUUUUUCA
rnacentral:tRNA from 1 species